AUUGAACGCUGGCGGCAGGCCUAACACAUGCAAGUCGAACGAGUGGCGGACGGGUGAGUGAUGUCUGGGAAACGGCCUGAUGGAGGGGGAUAACUACGGGAAACGGUAGCUAAUACCGCAUACCAUCGGAUGUGCCAAGAUGUGAUUAGAUAGUCGGUGGGGUAACGGCUCACCUAGGCGACGAUCCCUAGCUGGUCUGAGAGGAUGACCAGCCACACUGGAACUGAGACACGGUCCAGACUCCUACGGGAGUCAGCAGUGGGGAAUAUUGCACAAUGGGCGCAAGCCUGAUGCAGCCAGGCCGCGUGUAUGAAGAAGGCCUUCGGGUUGUAAAGUACUUUCAGCGGGGAGGCGUUACCCGCAGAAGAAGCACCGGCUAACUCCGUGCCAGCAGCCGCGGUAAUUC
rnacentral:rRNA from 1 species